GACGAACGCUGGCGGCGUGCUUAACACAUGCAAGUCGAACGAAAAGAGGGAAAGAGCUUGCUCUUUCCGGAAUUGAGUGGCAAACGGGUGAGUAACACGUAAACAACCUGCCUUCAGGAUGGGGACAACAGACGGAAACGACUGCUAAUACCGAAUAAGUUCCAAGGGCCGCAUGGCCCAUGGAAGAAAAGGUGGCCUCUACCUGUAAGCUAUCGCCUGAAGAGGGGUUUGCGUCUGAUUAGCUGGUUGGAGGGGUAACGGCCCACCAAGGCGACGGUCAGUAGCCGGUCUGAGAGGAUGAACGGCCACACUGGAACUGAGACACGGUCCAGACUCCUACGGGAGGCAGCAGUGGGGAAUCUUCCGCAAUGGGCGAAAGCCUGACGGAGCAACGCCGCGUGAGUGAUGACGGCCUUCGGGUUGUAAAACUCUGUGAUCCGGGACGAAAAGGCAGAGUGCGAAGAACAAACUGCAUUGACGGUACCGGAAAAGCAAGCCACGGCUAACUACGUG
rnacentral:rRNA from 1 species